CGAGUAGCCUACAAAUCCAUGCCUAACCCUAGCCCUAACAUUCAUGCCAAACACCUCCAUCUAAGUCAUUGCUGAAAAGCCAGAGAAGACUCUUCUCUGCUCUUUUGUUGCUGCCUUAUCUCCUCAUUCUUUUUAAUACCACAAGCCUAGCUACCUUCCUAUGUGAGUAGUUGUGUCCCUUUGCAUCUCCCCUCACUUUUGUGACAUCAAUUACGCUUUCUCAAGCAGCCUGAGGAUUUCUGAGUUGAAGCAUGGAAGGAACUGCAGCUUCCAAUCUGUUCUUUAGCUAUUUAUCAAGACCAUCUUCCACUCCUGUAAAGGUGCAUGCAGUGCCCAUACCUUUGUUUGCUAUCACCAACAUGGCAAGAAGCUGGAGCUCAGGCCAAAGGAUACUUGUCUUUCAUCCUAAUGCCCUCCUCUUCUCUUUGCCUUUGUUUGUUCUAGCAAGUGCUUCUUGCUAGUUUCGUGUUGGCGUUAUCUCAGCUGAGCUUCUCACAUCCUUCUUCAAUUUUUUUUUUUUUUUGAUUUAAUUGUUCUUGACCUUGUAAGACCUUUUCUUGACCUUGUAAGGCCCAAUUCUUCAUUUAUUUCACUUGCCUCACUCUUCGCCAUGAGUGAGUCAAUGCGAACUUUAUUCCUCCCUUCUCGCCCUUCUCCUGCCCACCUCUCCGCUCCAUCCCUCCUGAGCUGCGCUUGCAUGCGCAUUCAAUUAGUUCUCCAUGAGAAUAAAGUUGAUCUCCAACUCUAGUAACUUACUAAUUAAGUGAGCAUGUUGUUAAAUGUUUGUUAUGUGUGCUAUUGUAAUCUUGCAGGUAUCGGUUUGUUUUGUUUGACUUGUUACGUAUGUCUGAGUGUGCAGAGUAUUAUUCUUCUUGUGCCCGUGGAGAUGUAUAAAAGCUUAUGAAUCUUUUUCAGUCC